rnacentral:misc_RNA from 1 species
GAUGAAGAACGUAGCGAAAUGCGAUAAGUAAUGUGAAUUGCAGAAUUCAGUGAAUCGUCGAAUCUUUGAACGCACAUUGCGCCCGCCAGUAUUCUGGCGGGCAUGCCUGUCCGAGCGUCAUUUCAACCAUCAAGCCCCCGGGCUUGUGUUGGGGACCUGCGGCUGCCCGCAGGCCCUGAAAACCAGUGGUGGGCUCGCUGUCACACCGAGCGUAGUAGCAAUCACCUCGCUCAGGGCGUGCUGCGGGUUCCGGCCGUUAAACAGCCUUACAAAACCCAAGGUUGACCUCGGAUCAGGUAGGAAGACCCGCUGAACUUAAGCAUAUCAAUAAGCGGAGGA